rnacentral:rRNA from 1 species
GAUGAACGCUGGCGGCGUGCCUAAUACAUGCAAGUCGAACGCACAGCGAAAGGUGCUUGCACCUUUCAAGUGAGUGGCGAACGGGUGAGUAACACGUGGACAACCUGCCUCAAGGCUGGGGAUAACAUUUGGAAACAGAUGCUAAUACCGAAUAAAACUCAGUGUCGCAUGACACAAAGUUAAAAGGCGCUUUGGCGUCACCUAGAGAUGGAUCCGCGGUGCAUUAGUUAGUUGGUGGGGUAAAGGCCUACCAAGACAAUGAUGCAUAGCCGGGUUGAGAGACUGAUCGGCCACAUUGGGACUGAGACACGGCCCAAACUCCUACGGGAGGCUGCAGUAGGGAACCUUCCACAAUGGGCGAAAGCCUGAUGGAGCAACGCCGCGUGUGUGAUGAAGGCUUUCGGGUCGUAAAGCACUGUUGUAUGGGAAGAACAGCUAGAAUAGGGAAUGAUUUUAGUUUGACGGUACCAUACCAGAAAGGGACGGCUAAAUACGUGCCAGCAGCCGCAGUAA